AUUGAACGCUGGCGGCAGGCUUAACACAUGCAAGUCGAGCGGAGAUGAGGUGCUUGCACCUUAUCUUAGCGGCGGACGGGUGAGUAAUGCUUAGGAAUCUGCCUAUUAGUGGGGGACAACAUUCCGAAAGGAAUGCUAAUACCGCAUACGUCCUACGGGAGAAAGCAGGGGAUCUUCGGACCUUGCGCUAAUAGAUGAGCCUAAGUCGGAUUAGCUAGUUGGUGGGGUAAAGGCCUACCAAGGCGACGAUCUGUAGCGGGCCUGAGAGGAUGAUCCGCCACACUGGGACUGAGACACGGCCCGGACUCCUACGGGAGGCAGCAGUGGGGAAUUUUGGACAAUGGGGGGAACCCUGAUCCAGCCAUGCCGCGUGUGUGAAGAAGGCCUUAUGGUUGUAAAGCACUUUAAGCGAGGAGGAGGCUACUGAGACUAAUACUCUUGGAUAGUGGACGUUACUCGCAGAGUAAGCACCGGCUAACUCUGUGCCAGCCGCCGCCGUAA
rnacentral:rRNA from 1 species